rnacentral:rRNA from 1 species
AUGGCUGGAUUUUUCAUGGGCGAGGAGAGCCAGGAGCGGAUGAAUCUACGGGUGACACGGGUCUUGGUGACUGUGAGCCACCUCGCGCAUCUUACCCUGGCCCAAUUAUCUGGGAUCCGUCGGCGUAGAGACUCCGGUGUGCGGAUGUCUCUGGUGUGGGUGGCGUACCACGUGACCGAGAUAAUCACGCCAAUCGCCCUCGGCAAGGUGUUUCUCGACACCGCGACCGCGGUUAGCGAGGAGCUGAUGUUUGCGUUCUGGGCGCCGUUUCUCCUGCUGCACCUUGGUCGCCCGGACAACAUCACCAGCUACGCCUUGGAGCACAAUGAGCUGUCGCCGACCCAAAAGGCUGCUCUCGUCCUUGAAAUCGGAGGAGCUAUCUAUGGCUCAUACAAGCAAAGAUUUAUGCGCGGCGACGGGGCUCUGCGCGCCGCCUUCUUCAUCAUGCUCUUCCUGGGCUCCUAUAAGUACGUGGAGAGGGCAGUUGCGCUACGGCGAGCUUGCUUUGACAACAUUCGUCGCUCAGCCGGGAGAAAGAAGUUACGGCGCUUCACAUUUGAGGACGAAGGCCGUAAGUGGGAUAAUGAUGAUGCCCUGCUUGAUGCUCACGGCCUUCUCGGUGUCACCAUGGGUGCCUUCGCUGACUAUCAAGUCCACCGCCGGAGGUAUGUCCCAUCUUAUUCUGGCUGGAAGGAUGUUAGCGAGGUGGUUGAGAUGGAGGCGUCGCUCAUGUACGACAUGUUGUACACAAAGGCAAGUGUGGUCCGCACUUGGGCUGGCUACAUCAUCCGUGUCCUCUCGCCGCCGGCAACUGCCACGGCGCUCUAUCUCUUCCACAGUAAGGAGGGCAAUGCCAUGGAGAGUGCAGAUCGGACGGUCACAUACACCUUGCUUGUUGGUACCCUGGUGUUGGAUGUGAGAUGGCUGCUGAGAGCCCUAGGGUCCACCUGGACAUAUGCGUUCUUGGUAGAGCAAGGGGAAGGAAAAGAAUGGCUGCUUCCGGUUCGACGGACCUUCCCGGACAAUUUGCCUCGUCAAGCUGCAAUGCAAUCAUGGUAUUGCGUCCGUCGCCUCCUCGUCUCUCUGGAUACGUCCCGUCUCUCACUGAGAAGCGGCCCAAGUGGCCAUAGGUUGUUGUCCGGCGUGGGGCAACACAACUUGUUGCAAGAGUGCUGUACCUGUACUACUCCUCGCCCUCCGGGCCAACUGGAGAAGCUGGUCUCUUCUUUCUUCACUGGACUUGGGAAGAAGAAGACUGAUGUCAAGGAUGAUUUGUUGGAAGCUGUGUGCACACAGGUACUGCUGGAAUCUCGCACACUCGUCGGGAUGCGUCCCAUAAGGGAACUCGAUGAUUAUAUGAGGUCUAAUGCCAGUAACUAUAGUUUUGAAAACAACCUCAUCGCACUGCACGUCGCCACGGAUAUUUUCCUCUUGUGCAAGCCGACUUCGAUAAAAAGUGAAGCAUCAGCCAAAUACGAGAAGCAGAUACGAGCAAUAUCAGAUUACAUGAUGUUCCUCCUCGCUGAACGCCGGCACAUGGUAUUGAACCCGUGUGACGAGGGUAUCCACUACAAAAAGGCCCGCCUCGAUUUGGAGAAAAUAUGGCGUGAAAGAGGAACCAACAGUUCUCCAACAACAAGAGAGACAAAGCAGCUUGCCAACAUCCUUCUAGACAUGGAUGCCACUGAGGGCAGCUACAUGCUUGGAAGACCAAGUCAUCUUUAUAACAGAAAUGAUACUCUCGGGAUUGGUGCUUACUGGGCCUUCAACCUGUUAGAUGAGCUAGAACCGGGAAAUUAUGGACGACAUCCGAUGCAGGGCCAAUACAUUCACAAACUUGAAGCUUUCAUCCCGGCAUUCACCGAUGAGCAGGGACUCCCAUGCCAAGCAGCUCAGCUGCGGCGGUGA